ensembl:snRNA U6 U6 spliceosomal RNA
GAGCUAGCUUCCACAGCAUGGGUAAUAAAAUCGGAACAGAAUGAUACAGAGUAAAUUAGCAUAGGCCUUGUGCAUGGAUGACACGCAACAUUAUGAAGCAUUCUGUAUUUUU